GGGGGUGACCUGGCUUCGACGGGGUAGAGAAUGGGCAGACAAGCAUACCGUGCUCGCCUGACGCACGUAAAUCUCCUGGCAAAACAAUAAAUGCUGAUAACUACGGUUACGCACUCGCAGCUUAAUUAGCCACGAGCGCUGAUACGGAUCCUUUCCGGCGGGUUCGUAAAGGCGUCGACAAUGCCGGAAUGGCCUGUGUCCUGUCGGGGUGACACGGGCGAGACUGAAACCCCUGGCUGCGUUUCGGAUGAUUUGAGUCCGGCCAAGAGUCCGAAAGUAAGGUUGUCCGCCGAACUAAGUAUGUAGAAGGUCUGCUGGUUUUCACUUCGGACCGGGGUUCGAAUCCCCGCACCUCCACAA
rnacentral:tmRNA from 1 species